GCAAUAGUAAUCAUGCUCAGUACAAGAGGAGCCGCAGGUUCAGACAUUUGGUGCGUGUGCUUGGCUGAGGAGCCAGUGGUCUGUGGGAUUAUGACUGAACGCCUCUAAGUCAGAAUCCUGCCUAAACGC
rnacentral:ncRNA from 1 species